UCGAUCCUGUUUUUGGGUUUAAUUAAACAAAGUAAUUCAUUGAUUAAUUGUUUUAAACUCUUUGACUUUUAUAUCGUUACUUGUAUGUUUAGUUCAGUCAUUAAUCUAAAUACAUCGGUGAUUGUUAUUAAUGAGACAACAGUGAUGAUCUGUGAAACUUUCAACGAUACUCUUUAAAAGCGUAAACCCAAGAUGUAAAAAUUUGGCUCAUUUCGCUUCAUUUCAUCAGCACUAAAUCAUGUGAGUAAACUUGAUUUGGAUAUUAAAUUAUUACUAUGGAUCGUCUUUCACUAGUUCCGAUCUUCCUGGCAAGACGGUAAAGAACCAGCUCGAUUGGAGGAUGUCAAUUCAACAAGAUAUCAAUACAAUUCGGUAUAAAUUCACCAAAUAAUUCAGUGCUAUCAUAUCAUGGUAUGGAAAUUUUAUACUGGUGAAAAAAAGUUGCUAAUUGAAUGGUUCAAUGGAAAUUUAUUCAAAUGGGAAUUUCACCUUCAACCUCUCACCAGAUGGGUAACACUUAUGUUACAACGAAAAACAAAUGGUAUGAAUUGGUAUUUCCCUGAGAUGCGCUUGCUCUUCUCGUCAUCAUUUUCCUCCUCAUCUCAUCAUCAUCAUAAUCAUCUUCUUUUAACUCUCUCCCAACGGAUCAAUAAGACAUACACUCGCUCACAUACAACGAAAAUAAGAAGAAAGCAGGGAAAAAGAGUAAGAAGGAAGAUCCAGAGAGUGAGGAGUUUUUAUCUUCAAGUUUCUUCCUGAUUUUUCAAACUGAAGAUUCUCAGAUCAUUUUCAGUUUAACUUUCAUCGUUGCUUCUUUUGAUUGCUCAUUUUGUAGCUUCUUCUUCAACUUAUAAUCAGAUAAAAUUGAUACUGAAGUUAACCACAAUACAACAGUAAAAAGCAUCUCCAUCAAACCCGCAACUUUAACAUUGUAAACAGCAACAUCCAAACUACAUUUCAAGUUACAACUGAACUAUCUUAAUACUUAAUCAUCACUGCUUACAAAACAGUUGAUUGGAUUGGUCCAUCAUUGCCAUCAUCAUUAUCACCACCAUUAACAUCGAUGCAGUGACUUAAUUGUUCACUGUCAUCAAUUUUCAUCCAAUUCGAGAGUCAAUGAUAAUGAUCCUUGAUACUUUUCCCUCACUACCAGUUAAAGAGAUAACAUGGGUCAAACUUAUAUUUCCAUCUUUAUUGGUAAUAUUUGAUUCCUUAAUUAAACCUUGCCAUGCCAAAGGAGGUGCUGUCGGUGCCGCUGCAGCAGCAGGAGGUGCUACAGCUGGAGUUGACUGGACUGCUGGUGGUAAUUAUACAGAGGAGGAAAUGGUUGUGGCCUUAAUUGUGGUUGGCAUUAUUAUGAGUGUUUCAUUGUUAAUUUGUGCCUGUCAAUGUUAUCAAAAGGUUCUCUGGGAAAUUGAAAAUACCCAUCUAAUUGUCAAUAAAGUUACUAAAAGACCAAUGCCACCAGCGCCAUAUAAUAGGGAUGCAAUGGCUUAAAUAAUGAUAAUAAUAGCAAUAACAAUAAUGACCUAGCAAUAAUAAUGGAUAAUAACAAUGAUAAUGCAGUUUGGAUUGGUAGAGAGGAAAAGGACGAUUGCGGAAAAAAAUUACCGAUAAACUAUUGCAGUUAUCAUCAGCUUUCAAUGGACAUGAUGGAGGAAACCUUAAAAACAAUAACAUCUUUAUUAUUGUCUCUUCAUUAUCAUUCUUUACGAGCCUAUCAUCAAAUAAUUUUUCAUUGACUGAUCCUGAUACAACAACAAGCCAGUUGAUAAAUGUACUAAAUAACAAACACUGAAAGUUGAUGAUAUAAAACUUGCCUCUUCCCAUCAAGUUUAUAGUCGCUUAAAUAACCAACUCAUCAGGAAGAUAAUCAAUGGUAAUUGAUAAAUUUUAUUUUUCUUGGAAUCUUUGGAAUGAUAAGAAUGUUUAUCAUCAACAGGAGAACACCAAAGAAAAAAAACAAUAAAAAGCUCAACUGGUUUAAGAGGUUAACAUCAUAAUCAGAUCAUUCCGUAUUGAUCAAGAGUAUCAACACCAAGUUCAACUGCUUCAUCUACUUAGACUCUCGUUUAUUCAAAAUGCUGAUUAAUGGAUAUAUGGAACAAAAAGAAAGUGAAAAAAUUUUGAUUAUUUUUUCUCAUCGCCAUCAAUUCUGUGGAUGCAAUACUAAAUCAACUAAAUGAUCAUCUUUACACCAUCAUUAUCCAGAUUACCGUCAUGUUGAUAAAACUUGUUGCUUACCAUGAUGCUUACCGUACAAAAAAAGCCAGACAAAACAAAUUUCCAAAUAAUAAUGGCCAAUAUUGGAUAAUUAAUGAAUUUUAUCAAAACAUUUUUGUGUUUCAUUGGAAAUGUUUAAAAUGCUAAUCAAUUGAAAGUGCCUUAAGGAGGUUUACAUAAAUUUUUCAUCAUCAACCAUAAACAAUAGAUUGCUGUUAAUUCAAGCGGAUUUCAUGAGGAACAAAAAUGUUUAAAUUGACACAUUUUAAAGUCACUCGGAUAUGAAUUUGAUAACAUGAUUUACUGAUCAACAUGAAACUCGACUGAAACAAUAAGAAAAUUGUUAGCUAAUCGGAAAUCGGAAAUAAAAGCAAAUCCAUCCUUUUAAUUAUUAUAGUACUUAAACCAUCCUGAUGAUAAAGCAAAACAAAGCAACGGGUUAAGUCUUUCUUAUUCAUUUCUCUCUCUCUCCUCUCUCUUCAUUUCACAAAUCUUGUUGCUGUUCAUUUCCUCUCUGUCCAUCUCCUCUUAUCUUCAUCGUUAUCGUCAUCAUGAUCCUGAUCAUCUUGGAUUUCUUUAUCAAUCUAUCGUUUCUACUGUUUAACAGAAAGCUGAAGACUCUUCUAUUCCAAUAAACUUCCUUCCGGUUUCCUUACGAUAAUGACUUUGGAUCAAAAAUUUUCAUUGGAUCGUCAACUGAUAUCAAAUGAUUUCAUGUCCUGAUCAGAAUCAUCUUUUUCCCUCAUCAUCACCAUAACCAUUCUCAUCUUUUAAAUCUACAAUCCACAAAUUGUUUCUCGCCUCUUUCCUUCAUAAACAUAAUCCCAUGAAAUAUUAUUGUUUUCAAAAAAAUGCUCCUCAUAACGGGUAAAUGCUUUUAUCAAUCUAUUCCAAUCUGUGAAACUCAAUACUUCAUUCACAGCAAACUCAAUGGAACCAAACAGCAAACAAACAAACAAACCCUCAAAAAGUAUUGAUAACAUCACCUAAAAAUGGUAAAUAAAGGGAAUCAAGUUGAUUGUGAUGAUGGAAACCAUUGAAAGUUCAAUAAAUCCCAAGGAUUGAAUGUAAAGCCAAAUUUGAUUGGUAUUAUUAAUUAUCUUUCACUGUAAUCAUGUUAAUUGGUGAAGCUGAUGGAACAUUUUUCUAUUCAUAAUUCAUUCAUUUGAAUUGAAAUUGUUAAUUAAUGCAAAACAAAAGUUUAACAAUUUGUU